rnacentral:misc_RNA from 1 species
GGAAGUAAAAGUCGAACAAGGUUUCCGUAGGUGAACCUGCGGAAGGAUCAUUCAUAAUAAGUGUUUUACUGCACUUUUUAAAAAUAGUACUCACCUUGUGUGCAAUGUUGUGUUUCUUUUCGGAGAAACACCUACACCAACCUAUAACCUUGAACCACUUUGUCUGAAAAACUAUUAUGAAUACUUAAUUCAAAAUACAACUUUCAACAACGGAUCUCUUGGCUCUC